GGAAGACAAAGGGCAUCCAGGGAGAGGGGCAGGGGCGCUGGGAGUCAGAACGCCUAAGGCAGGGAACAAAGAACCCAAGCGCCGACUGGGGAUUCCGGGCUGCACACAAGGAAGCCUCAUUGGAGAAAAGGGGGCGGCGAGGUGGAGGCGGGUGACCCACCACCCACGGCCCACGGUGACUGGGCACGGCCUGAGCAGGCCGACUCGGAGGAGGCGCGGGGCGAGGCUGCGGGCGGAGCGCGGGAAAGCAAAUGAAAUCAAGGAGAGGUACCUAUACACAAAAGAAAAGAAAUAAGCCCCAAUGGAAAAUCCAACAGCUAUAAAAAUGACAGAAUGGAAUUCUGGAAUACCCAGACAAGACGCUGAGAAUUACUAGAAAAUUCAUUAACUCCAAGAUCGAGUUCCUCAAGAAUCAAAUGUAAGGGAACAGUUCUAAUGUAUACCGUCAGUUGCCUGUGAUAAGAUGCAGCUUCUUUUAAAUGAAAUAUGUUUUCUAUUUUAAUGUUUUUAUAUGCAUUUCUAUCAUGCUCAUCACUGUUACCUCUACAUAGGAGUUGGCCUGUAUUUCAAAGAGACACAGAGAAACUGUGCUGUAAGGACUACCUCCAAUUGCAUUUACAAGAGAAAAGGAGUCCCAGAGAGGUUCAAGUCACUGGGGGAUGGCUGGCAAGGCCAGGAAUUAAAGUCUAAAUCUCCCAACAAGGAUCUUCCCAA